GAGGGCUGUAAUCACCCCUGGGGUCCCACUGGAGCCGCUGCCUUGCUGUCGUCUAUGCCCAGGAUCCGAUAUUCCUGCUAAAGCGCUUUGCCAUGAUACUGCCCUUGAGGAGAAGGCUGCAGCCCUAAAGUGGUGGCUGGGGACCCUUUGGAGCAUCUCUCCAGACUCACCCAGAGCCAGACAGCAGCAGAAGACUGUGAACACUUUGGGCAAGGACACCGCUCAGUCUGCCCGAGUGCGGCCAGCUCCGAAGUUUUUGCUUAAAUCCCCUGUAUCUGGCUGAGGAUCCUUAAUGGAAAGCUACAGGAUAAGUCUCUUCGUUGCAGAGAAAAAUUAUGACUCGGGUUGCCUUGACAAAGUGAAAAGCGAGAAGGAUGACUGUGUUCUUGCAUCAAACAUCAACUGCAGCCCACCACGAGGCAGCCGAGGGUGAUGUACUCCUGGCCACUAACGGCUCCAUCGGGCAACCCUCGGGCGGCAACGCGGUGAUUCCCAAAGAUGCCUUUGGCACUGGUCUCUCCCCAGUUCCAACCAUUCCCAACUUGUU